rnacentral:rRNA from 1 species
AGGACGAACGCUGGCGGCGUGCCUAACACAUGCAAGUGGAGCGACGAACCAGGCUUCGGCCUGGGGCAGAGCCGCGAACGGGUGAGUAACACGUGGGUAACCUGCCCUGAUGAUUGGGACAACCCGAGGAAACUCGGGCUAAUACCAAAUGUGCCCCUUGGCCUCAAGGCCUCUGGGGAAAGGAAGCUUCGGCCUCCGCAUCGGGAUGGGCCCGCGGCCCAUUAGCUUGUUGGUGAGGUAAUGGCUCACCAAGGCUACGAUGGGUAGCUGGUCUGAGAGGACGAUCAGCCACACUGGGACUGAGACACGGCCCAGACUCCUACGGGAGGCAGCAGUGGGGAAUCUUGCGCAAUGCGCGAAAGCGUGACGCAGCAACGCCGCGUGGGGGAAGAAGGCCUCGGGUUGUAAACCCUUUCGGCAGGGACGAAGCGAAAGUGACGGUACCUGCAAAGAAGCGCCGGCUAACUACGUGCCAGCAGCCGCGGU